rnacentral:rRNA from 1 species
GAUGAACGCUAGCGGCAGGCUUAAUACAUGCAAGUCGAGGGGCAGCAGGGGUAGCAAUACCCGCUGGCGACCGGCAAACGGGUGCGGAACACGUACAGAACCUUCCUUUAAGCGGGGGAUAGCCCAUAGAAAUGUGGAUUAAUACCCAUAGUAAUAUUGUCUGGCAUCAGGUGGUAUUUAAAGAUUUAUCACUUAAAAUGGCUGUGCGGCUGAUUAGGUAGUUGGUGUGGGUAACGGCCCACCAAGCCAGCGAUCAGUAACUGGUGUGAGAGCACGACCAGUCACACGGGCACUGAGACACGGGCCCGACUCCUACGGGAGGGCAGCAGUAAGGAAUAUUGGUCAAUGGACGCAAGU